AUUGAACGCUGGCGGCAGGCCUAACACAUGCAAGUCGAGCGGAUGAAGGGAGCUUGCUCCUGGAUUCAGCGGCGGACGGGUGAGUAAUGCCUAGGAAUCUGCCUGGUAGUGGGGGAUAACGUCCGGAAACGGGCGCUAAUACCGCAUACGUCCUGAGGGAGAAAGUGGGGGAUCUUCGGACCUCACGCUAUCAGAUGAGCCUAGGUCGGAUUAGCUAGUUGGUGGGGUAAAGGCCUACCAAGGCGACGAUCCGUAACUGGUCUGAGAGGAUGAUCAGUCACACUGGAACUGAGACACGGUACAGACUCCUACGGGAGGCAGCAGUGGGGAAUAUUGGACAAAGGGCGAAAGCCUGAUCCAGCCAUGCCGCGUGUGUGAAGAAGGUCUUCGGAUUGUAAAGCACUUUAAGUUGGGAGGAAGGGCAGUAAGUUAAUACCUUGCUGUUUUGACGUUACCAACAGAAUAAGCACCGGCUAACUUCGUG
rnacentral:rRNA from 1 species